rnacentral:rRNA from 1 species
UGGGGAAUAUUGGACAAUGGGCGAAAGCCUGAUCCAGCAAUACCGAGUGAGUGAUGAAGGCCCUAGGGUUGUAAAGCUCUUUUAGCAAGGAAGAUAAUGACGUUACUUGCAGAAAAAGCCCCGGCUAACUCCGUGCCAGCAGCCGCGGUAAGACGGAGGGGGCUAGCGUUGUUCGGAAUUACUGGGCGUAAAGAGUGCGUAGGAGGUUUAGUAAGUUGGAAGUGAAAGCCCGGGGCUUAACCUCGGAAUUGCUUUCAAAACUACUAAUCUAGAGUGUAGUAGGGGAUGAUGGAAUUCCUAGUGUAGAGGUGAAAUUCUUAGAUAUUAGGAGGAACACCGGUGGCGAAGGCGGUCAUCUGGGCUACAACUGACGCUGAUGCACGAAAGCGUGGGGAGCAAACA